rnacentral:misc_RNA from 1 species
AUUUGCAGUUAGAAUUUAGGUUUUAUAACAGAAGCAUAAGAUUAUUGAUUGAUUUUCUUUGUACAAUAUUAAAUAUCAUAUCAGCAAUAUGCUAGAAAAACUAGUCCAUGGACUUCCCAGAUGAUCGAUAACUAUAAGAGAUGUAAGCCCCAAGUGCUACAAUUACUAGAACUGCCACACCUAUAUUCACCAGCAAUUGCCUCUCUUCGCUCAGCUCCAUCACAUUCUUCUUUGCAGCAGCUGCCACAUUCUUCACUUUGUCAGUAAAGAAAUCUUCCUUUGGCUUCUCUUCACCUCCACCAAAUUUACCACUUCUAGUUCUUUCAUCAGGCCUUGUCACCAUCACUUCUUUUCUUUUCUUGGUACGUUCUUCACUUUGAUCAGCUAACAAGGAUUCUUUUAUUCUCUUGCUAGUUUCCUCUUGGUUGGAUUCGCUUGCCUUGUCAUAUAGUUCCCCCUUUUCUUUCUUUUCAAUGGUCUUUUCUUCACCAACUUUAGCACCCUUUUUAUCUUUUGUCUUCAUGGUAUCAUCAGUUAUUGAAGCAACAUUUGAGGUGGCUUCAACCUGAGUUUGAGACUUUGGAUCUUUCAAGGCUUCUCCGGGGCUAGGGGCUCCUUCUACUUGCUUUCCAUCUGAUUGUUUUUGGGUCGCAACAUAUGUUUUGGCUUGCUGAGGAAUUUGAGGAGCCACUGUCUUCUCCUUUCCUUCUUCAACUGCAACACUCGUCGAAGUAAGAUUAUCAGGGAUUGAAGGUUGGAGUUUUGGCAUUGUAAUGGUAAGAA